AAUUUUAGUUGUGAAUGUGUGUGUGUGUCUUCAUGAUUUAAAAUCUGUCCCCUGAAACAUAGGUAGACACAGCACUCAGGGAUCUGGAGCAGAAGAAGAGCCCACACUUAUGACUCUCAGGAUGAUAUUGCUUAGAAAAUGGCACAGCCUUUGUUUAAUCAAAUCACAGAAAUACUGUUGUGUUGAUUGGAAGGCAAGAAGCUGGCCAGCAGGGAGCUAGUCUUUAAAGGGAAACAACAAACAUUUCACUGACAAAAACGAGUAAGACAAUGUUAGAGCUUUAAAGUACCUACCGGACUAUGACUUUCACUGUUCUGCCCCAGGAUUUGAAAAAUUGCUCUGCUAAUCGAUAGUGUGGUUUCCUUCCUUUGUUCUAAUUGUUCUGAUUUUCAUUAAGUCCUCUAAGUUCUGGGUGUGGAAGCUUUCAGUGCUGUGGCUGCGUAAAUCCCUGGAAUGCUGAGGCUUCCCAUGAAGCUUGCUUCCCAGUUCAUUUAAUGAUAACUCAAAAAUGUCCUUUUAAAAAACAGCACUAAUUAGAAUCAGCUACAAAUGGUGUACUUUUAUUACAUUCAAUAUUCCGUUGUAUAAGAAAUGAAAUAUGUAUGUGUGCCUUAUAAUCCUUUCAGCCCACUUUAUUAUGCAUAUGUUAAUAACAUUGAGUUUAAUCUAUAAAAUUUUUUUUCUUUGAGGUUUACAGCAUAAUAUGAAAGCAAAAUUUAAAUAAUACAAAAUUCCCGGAAGUUUUCCCAUAAUGCAUUAAAUGGUACUUUGAACACACAAUGUUUUCUCCUAAUGGUUGUCUCUUGAUGAGUAAUCACAAAAUACUGCUGAGAUUGGCUUCUGGAAUGCCAGAGUGAAUGUCUCAGUGAACUUGCUUCCCCUCCAAAACAAUAAAAAUACUGGCAAAAUGAUUAAAAUAAACCA
rnacentral:lncRNA from 12 species